GGGCCCAUGGCUCAGCAGUAGAGCGUCCGCUUUGCAAGGAACUUUUUGAAAAAGUUCCAUCAAAACAGCGGAAGGCCGCGGGUGCGAAUCCCGCUGGGUCCA
rnacentral:tRNA from 1 species